rnacentral:lncRNA from 1 species
ACCUAGUUUCUCUAGUGAAGAUACUGUUUUACGGUUUAUCACACAGGCAAUAGACACUUCUGUGGAUUGCCCUCUUAUUUUGAAGUUCUUAAAACACAAUGUGCACCGUCUUCUCAUCCUCUUUGUUAGAUCAGGCAGUUGUGCCUCGAAAGUUCUUGUGGCGGGUCUCCCAAUCCUGUGAACUCAUCUGUCUUUUUAUGGAAUCUGUUCACCACACAGAGUUAGGUAUAAAACACAGAGACCCUUCAUGGACCACAAGAACAUGUUCCUUCAUUUAAACAAAUGAAAUAGUUAAGAAUGGAGCUAACAGACUGCUUUUAAUCACAGGUUAUGUCACCUUUCUCUUCAUGGUUGGCUUCUUCUAGACAGUCUCUGUCCUUCCUUGCAGGAUGGAUGGUCCUAGGGAACUAGUGAUUUGUCAGGAGUAUGGUCUACUCAUCCCAAGGUUUCAGCCAAGUUAUUAGGAGAGCCCCUCCUCUCACUUCCUGUUCCCUUUACUAAGCUUUUGUUUCCAAGGAGACACUAGGUCUUGGUAAGAUUUAGGGAUUAAGGACAUGGGGGCUUCAUGUGGAUGACUAUGCUGGAAAAUCUACCCUCUCUUCCCAAAUUUCCUUCCUGACAGAGGCAUUUCCAUAUUGCAUGCGAAGUAAGUAGCCUUGCCUGGGCAUGGCAAAGUGGUCUGUGUGAUGGACGAUGGACGAGAGAACCCUGCAACUGAGGAAGCAAGGAGGCCACCCUGCCUGGUUCUUAGCAUGGAAAUCACACUUGAUUUUCUUCCUGGAGGAAGUGUCUUGAGAAAAUAAAAAAAGGGCCCCACCCCUGGGCAGAAGCGAAGGGGGUAAAAGCGAGCUCUGGAUCUUUCAGAUGCAUGGCCGUGGUAAGACAAGUUCAGGAGCUAAGGGGACAGUCUGGGUCAAUUCCAUGGUAUCUCAGAGUCUCUAAGUCAGCUUUUGACAUCCAGCUGUUCCUCACUGGAGGUCACUGUUCAUCUGUCCCUUUCCCCUUCUCUCUCAUCAUCAGAACCUACACGGGCCACCUGUAAGAGGACACACACUCUGAUGACCAAGAGGAAGAGCAGGAGUGUGGCGUCGUUGAGGCAAUGGUGAUGGCACACAAAGACAUUGUGUUGGCUUCUGAGUCUAGAUCUAUAAAUAUAUUUAUUAUAAUAUAACAACUUAACAAUAAACAUAUACUAUGUACAAUACCAUUACAGAGAACCCUGUUUUAUAUCAUUCACAGAAAUAGCCAGUUUUGCUCCAGUGUGAUAGAUGAGGAGAGAAACGGAAUUUCAGCAUCAUCUGCGGAGUCUUGUUGACCACUAACACCUCCCUUGGAGGCAGAUGCACGCCAAUGCUCAUAUUCGCCCUGCCCCAGGCAGUUAGAAAUUUGUGCUCCAGUCCUUGGGUUCACACUUGCACCCUGUUUGACAUAAAUACUUUAAAUGACAUACAAUGUAUGUAGUUUUGUGCUUAUUACUUUUUUUAAAUAAUAAAUAAU